UAAAAUCUCAGUGAAAAAUUCUGUUUUGGAAUUUGCUUAUUGUUAUUGCUACUAGAUGGUACUAUGAAUGAAAACGCAAAUAUUAUCAUGAUGACAAUGAUGUGUGAUAUUCUUUCCUCUGGACUGUCAGUCAAAGUCAGGAAGUGGUAGAAAUUCCCUCUCAGCUUUUCCAUCUGUCACUUUUAUUAUUGAUCACAGCCCAGGGGUCACGAAUCUACGCACACACACAUUUACACGCACACACGCAGUGUGAAGUGAAGUGACAGCUGUUUUCCCAGCGAAGCUGCUUGUCACCUGCGCCGAAGACCUGGACCUCCGUGUCGGCCAGGACCUCCUGCUGCGUGACAUCAUCAAGAUGGGACACAGGUGGUGCCACUGGAGUACAUGAGCUCAUGCUUCAUGCUAAUAUGCUAACAACAGACUGGAGUUUCUGAGGGACGAAGAAGACAAGCAGCAGGCGCAAGAACAAGAGGAGGAAGAGGAGAUGGAAAGCUGGAAUGAAGACGCAAUGAGCACAGGUUAGCACCAAGUCUUUAGCAAAUAAAUAAUAUUACUCAUAUUCAUGAU